GUGAGGAUCACUCAGAAGGAAACCGCGUGCAGAGCGAGAGCGCCUUUUGCCCCGGCCCCCCGGGAAGCGCUGAAGGGAAAAUGAUUGGUCAGAUAUCGCGAGAGUGGACGACUCGCACACUCGACCUGGCUAGAAGGAUCCAGAUGAGCAGCUGCCCUGUACUCUACUGCAGCAGGACUGGAAAGGAGGAGUGUCACGGCGUUUGACGUCAUUCUGCGCCAGUUGAGCCGGUGCUGUGGAAGGAAGCCACACCCGCUCUUUUUCCUGUUCAGUCGCCCCCUGCUGGCAAGGACGUGCAUGUUCACAUCGCAGUGGGGUUAAGGGUGUGCCGCUGGUCCACACAGGAUUUAUAGGGGGGCUUUGUGUGAAACUUUUAACAGCGCGCUUGCUGCAAGUGGUGUCCUCAAGUAUGAAUGGAAUUGCCAUAAAGGAAUGCCACCAGA